rnacentral:rRNA from 1 species
UACGAAGGGGGCAAGCGUUGUCCGGAAUCAUUGGGCGUAAAGCGCGUGUAGGCGGUUCGGUAAGUCCGCUGUGAAAGUCGGGGGCUCAACCCUCGGAUGCCGGUGGAUACUGUCGGACUAGAGUACGGAAGAGGCGAGUGGAAUUCCUGGUGUAGCGGUGAAAUGCGCAGAUAUCAGGAGGAACACCGAUUGCGAAGGCAGCUCGCUGGGACGUUACUGACGCUGAGACGCGAAAGCGUGGGGAGCAAACAGG